ensembl:lncRNA
CUUGUAUGUACCUGGUCCUGACCUGACCUGUAUGUACCUGGUCCUAACCUGACCUGUAUGUACCUGGUCCUGACCUGUAUGUACCUGGUCCUGACCUGUAUAUACCUGGUCCUGACCUGUAUGUACCUGGUCCUGACUUGUAUGUACCUGGUCCUGACCUGUAUGUACCUGGUCCUGACCUGUAUGUACCUGGUCCUAACUUGACCUGUAUGUACCUGGUCCUGACCUGUAUGUACCUGGUCCUGACCUAUAUGUACCUGGUCCUGACCUGUAUGUACCUGGUCCUGACCUGUAUGUACCUGGUCCUAACCUGUAUGUACCUGGUCCUGACCUGUAUGUACCUGGUCCUGACCUGUAUGUACCUGGUCCUGACCUGUAUGUACCUGGUCCUGACCUGUAUGUACCUGGUCCUAACCUGUAUGUACCUGGUCCUAACCUGACCUGUAUGUACCUGGUCCUGACCUGUAUGUACCUGGUCCUGGCCUAACCUUGUGUGUGGUUUGCUCUCUCAUGAUUUGGUAAUACAGGACAUUUCCACGACAAAUGACCAGGAAGUGGCUAGUUUAAUGACCAGGUAGUGGCUAGUUUAAUGACCAGGUGGGGGCUAGUUUAAUGACCAGGUGGUGGCUAGUUUAAUGACCAGGUAGUGGCUAGUUUAAUGACCAGGUAGUGGCUAGUUUAAUGACCAGGUAGUGGCUAGUUUAAUGACCAGGUAGUGGCUAGUUUAAUGACCAGGUAGUGGCUAGUUUAAUGACCAGGUAGUGGCUAGUUUAAUGACCAGGUGGUGGCUAGUUUAAUGACCAAGUAGUGGCUAGUUUAAUGACCAGAUAGUGGCUCGUUUAAUGACCAGGUGGUGGCUAGUUUAAUGACCAGGUAGUGGCUAGUUUAAUGACCAGGUAGUGGCUAGUUUAAUGACCAGGUGGGGGCUAGUUUAAUGACCAGGUAGUGGCUAGUUUAAUGACCAGGUGGUGGCUAGUUUAAUGACCAGGUAGUCGCUAGUUUAAUGACCAGGUAGUGGCUAGUUUAAUGACCAGGUGGGGGCUAGUUUAAUGACCAGGUGGGGGCUAGUUUAAUGACCAGGUAGUGGCUAGUUUAAUGACCAGGUAGUGGCUAGUUUAAUGACCAGGUGGGGGCUAGUUUAAUGACCAGGUAGUGGCUAGUUUAAUGACCAGGUAGUGGCUAGUUUAAUGACCAGGUAGUGGCUAGUUUAAUGACCAGGUAGUGGCUAGUUUAAUGACCAGGUGGGGGCUAGUUUAAUGACCAGGUAGUGGCUAGUUUAAUGACCAGGUGGUGGCUAGUAUAACAGCAGGUGAGUUUCCCUUAUGACCCUCUACGAUAGACAUUCAGUAGUUCAGCUAGGGAGGUUGUGUCACAAAUGGUACCCUAUAUAGUGAACUACCUUUGACAAGAGCCCAUAGGUAGUGCACUACGUAGGGAAUAGGGUGCCAUUUGGGACCCCAAGAGAUGUCCACAGGACACAGUGGAGAGCCAGUGCAGAACCAGUACCUGAUUAUAGAUAUUGAUUUCGGAUAUACAGGCUAUAAUGUGUGUAUAAACAUGAAUAAAUUGCUUACGAAACAUGUAUAAACUGC